GUUUCUUUCCCUGUUCAGUUCAUUCAUCCCCUUCCCGUGGACCAUGGAAAAAAAGCUAUGCAGCACGGAGAUUCGCCAUGGAUGGCCUCGAGUUCUUUUAGGAAGCAGAAUCAGGAUUGGUUCCUAGGGCUCAUGCGGGUGAUAUUUUGGUUGGCGGGAUCAACGUUGUCGAGUCUAUGGUUGCUUCCAUCCAUGAAGCUUGCGGGCGCUCCUAUGAUGUGAUUUCUUCUAACCGAUGGACGGCAGUAACGGCAAAGAGUAGUUCCGGGGGCCUGACACGAAUGUUGGCUCAUGCCGCAACGGUGGGAGUGAGGUCGUUGGUGACUCAAACGAUAUGGGGCUCAGAAUACUGCAACUGAAUCUAUGGGAGUGGGAGAUGAGGGAGACGCAGAGGAUGUCGUCGUCAACAAAACAAAGAUCUCAUGUUGGACUCGACGUGUUAGGAUUGGCAACGCGCCAGAAGAGAGGGAUGCCAACCCAAGCAGGUCCCUGCCCUCGAUGCUUCAAUGCAAGCUUAUGCAAACAACAAGGUUGGCACUAUUGUUAACCCGGCGCUCGGGACUAGCUUUGACACAUUUGUAGAAGCAUAUGAGUUUUACAACUUAUACUCCUGGGAGACUGGUUUUGGCGUCAGGUAUGCCAAAAGCAGGUUGAUCGUCCAUCGGAAAAAAAUGUAUGCAGGAGUUUGUGUGCGCGUAUGUGGGCAAGCCAUUGCAAUCGAAUAGCCGCUCGACGAGGUGUGGAUGCCCCGCGUUGAUGCGGAUUCUUAGGUCUGAUGAUAAAGGAUGGUACAUAUGUGAGCACAAAGCAGAGCACAACCAUGCACUCUCAGUUAACUGUAUGGAGAAGCUGCACUGGAAAUUGCACUGGCACAUACAUAGAUGGAGCAACUAAGAAAUGCGAGAACAUUGCCGGAGUCGGUGGCUGCUGUACGUGAUGGCACGGGUUUAUCUGACAGAGAGGUGCAGGUGAUUCUGCAGGUUCAGCUACAACAGAGAAGCAACAUUUUGGUCCAACAAAAAACAAGUGCAAAGUGCCUCACAAUGUUCAGAUAGCUUUGGGGCACCAUCAAAGAAGAGACCAGCGGGGCGCCCUACGACAAGCUGCGACAAAGCACCAUACGAACAACCAACUAAGAGGAGUAGGUUCUGUUCGAUCUGCCGGGCCCAGGGGCACAAGAGCACAACAUGUCCGUGGCAGGGGCGAUCUUCCAAAGGCGCCAAGUAAGUCACCUCGCUGCUCCAGGUGCAGCCUGAAAGGCCACAGAAGGAACACCUGCACCAACACGCCCAAGGCUGAUAUCUAUGGUUGAUUUUAUUUGUUUUCUAAGCUUGAAACAUGAUAGUUUCAGGUAACCGUGCUUAUGUGGAUGUCAGACUGCUAAUGACUACUCCACAUAUUAGUGAAUCUCUAUAUCUGUAGUAUCAUUUGUUGUCGGAGAAUUGCUUGGAGACGAUGUGUGUUUGGUGUGAAAAUCACUUGUUUGAUCCUUUUCGCUUCAA